rnacentral:rRNA from 1 species
GACGAACGCUGGCGGCGUGCUUAACACAUGCAAGUCGAACGGAAAGGCCCUGCUUUUGUGGGGUGCUCGAGUGGCGAACGGGUGAGUAACACGUGAGUAACCUGCCCUUGACUUUGGGAUAACUUCAGGAAACUGGGGCUAAUACCGGAUAGGAGCUCCUGCUGCAUGGUGGGGGUUGGAAAGUUUCGGCGGUUGGGGAUGGACUCGCGGCUUAUCAGCUUGUUGGUGGGGUAGUGGCUUACCAAGGCUUUGACGGGUAGCCGGCCUGAGAGGGUGACCGGCCACAUUGGGACUGAGAUACGGCCCAGAAGCCAACGGGAGGCAGCAGUGGGGAAUAUGGCAGAAUGGGCGGAAGCCUGAUGCAGCAACGCCGCGUGCGGGAUGACGGCCUUCGGGUUGUAAACCGCUUUCGCCUGUGACGAAGCGUGAGUGACGGUAAUGGGUAAAGAAGCACCGGCUAACUACGUG